UACGUAGGGUGCGAGCGUUGUCCGGAAUUAUUGGGCGUAAAGGGCUCGUAGGCGGUUUGUCGCGUCGGGAGUGAAAACACCGGGCUUAACUCGGUGCUUGCUUCCGAUACGGGCAGACUAGAGGUAUGCAGGGGAGAACGGAAUUCCUGGUGUAGCGGUGGAAUGCGUAGAGAUCCGGAAGAACGCCGGAGGCGAAGGCGGCUUGCUGGACCUGGUCUGACGCUGAGGCGCGAAAGCGUGGGGAGCGAACAGG
rnacentral:rRNA from 1 species